ensembl:lncRNA
GUCGUCCUCACUGGUCUGUGCCUGGGGCUGGAGAGGCCAAGAGGGGUGGUCUGCACCAGCCCGGGGAGCCUGAGCCUGUAGGGUAAGACACUUGGAGCCCUUCUCCCUCCCUUGGGAGCCUCAGGCGUGGGAGAGAAAAGCCCUCUCUCCCAAGGCCCAGUGUGACAUCACCCCUGUCCCUGUUUCUGAGUUGACCUUCCUGGGGCUCCCAGUCAGGAAUGCUGAUUCCCAGGUUCCCCCCACAUACAACAGUUAUCCCCGUGACAUUAUCGAGAGUGGACUUCAGUGGAGACAUAUUGCUCCUGCCCCUGUGGACAGCAACUUGGAUCUGUUCUCCAUCCAAAGGGUGAAGUUGUGAGGCCACUGUGAUCGCAAAGUCCCGGGAAAGAAGGACUUUGAGACAGCAACUUCUAAGUUUUCUUCUUUUCUUCCUUUGAGCCACAGUUACCUGUGGCAUGUUUACCCACUGUGACUUAGCCUUCCCAGUGGCAGGCAAGAUGCGCUAAUAAAAAUCUCUGUUAGAAAUUCUGCAGAGCUUUGAAACGUGUGCCUAGGGUGGAUCUGCCUGAUUUUAAAUUUCCUCCCCAUCCUUUCCUUGGAUCAACGUAAAUACUUGCUUGCCUGCUCUGUAGGAGGCGUUAAGCUAGGUGCUGGGGACAAGGAACUGAAUGAAACCAAAAACUUCCCUCCUUCCAGGUGGGCAUUGCCUUUUAGGGCCACCAGUAAUGACAAUUGUGGUGUCAGUGACUGCCACGUGCUGCCACGUGGACAGUGCAAGGAGAGAGAGGGUCUAAUUGGCAAGGCCAAGGGAGUGAGCCAAGCAGUGCAUGUGGUGGUCAGAAGGAGGAGUAGCGGGAUUGGAAGAAAGUGACAGGUUCCUAGAGGACUUAACUGGCAUGUGGAAGAUGCCGUUUCCUGUCUGGAAACACCUCUGGGGAUGGGGAGGAAACAAGGUGAGCUUCAGUCUUGACACUGCUUCCUCUCAGCUGGCCUGCAGGUUGCCCCUUGCAGGAGCGGAUGCUGCCUCUCUGCCCAGUCUCUUUGUAGUUACUUUCUUUUACACAGUGGCAGUGUGUGUGUGUGUGUGUGUGUGUGUGUGUGUGUAUGUGUGUGUGUGUAUUUGACAUGGAGUCUUGCUAUUCCAGGCUGGCACUGAACUUGCUAUAUAGCCUGGCUGGACCCUGAAAUUGUGACCCUCCUGCUUCAGCCUCCCAAGUGAUGGAUUAUAAGCCUACACCACAAUGCCUGGCUGUUAUUUUCUUUUUAAUCUCUCCUUUCAUUCCUCCAAAGGGAAUCUUUGCCAUCUCUGUUUUUGACUUUACUUUCAUUGUGGGGGGGGGGCAGGAGUACUGGGGAUUAAACCCAAGGCCUUUGCACUGAGCUUCAUCCCCAGCCCUUGUUUGGUUAUUUUUUUUUUUUUAUUCUGAGAUGGGGUCUCUCUAAGUUGCCCAGGCUCAGUUUGAACUUGUAAUCCUCCCACCUCAGCUUCUCAGAAUGCUGGGACUACAGGUGUGUGUCACCAUGCCUUUCUUUGAGUAGUACAUAUUGGUAGAUAGUGAAACUGAAGUAUACAAAUGAAAGUUGUCCAUGGUCAAGGUGAAACCAACAUCUACCUUCCAGAACCUGGGGUCUCUUUGGCCUGCUCACAAUAUCUUCCUGAGACCCCCAGCUAUAGGCAGAAAUGGGCAGUCUGUUCCUAGACAGGGAACAGGGAGGCAGUGUCUCCUUGCCCCACUCUGGUGGAGUCCAGCUCUGCAUAACCACAGCCAUUGUUCCCAGUUGCUGUCCCCGCUUGCCUGGACAUCUGUUCUCUUAACAAUGUCUGCGCCAUCCAUGGUGCGAGCUGGGGAACAAUGGAGCCUACAGCAGGUGGCCAAACCCUCGCCAUGGUUACAUGAGGGUGUGACCGCAACUCUGUGUGUGUGUGUGUGUGGGGUGUUGGUGGGCCCCGACACCUGCAUCUGGGGCCACGGUUGUGUGUGCGUUGCAGGCUAGGCUGAGGGUGGGGACUGUCUGGCUGCAGUUGAGAGGAUGCCUCAUGGAGCAUUUUUAUAGGCUUCUGCUAUGACUCGUGCUCUGUAAUUCUUGGUGUCUGUGAAGAAAAAGGAUAUUUUUUCAAAUGCAUUUUAAUUUUUAUUUUUUUUGAUACCAGGCAUUGAACUUGGGUCCUUGCGAUUGCACAGGAGGUGGUGGAACCACUGAGCUAAAUCCCUGGCCCUCAAAUGCCUUUUUAAUUAGUUAAUUUUUUGUGUGGUGCUGGAGAUUGAACUCAGGGUCUUGCACUUGCUAGGGAAGUGUUCCACCACUGAGCUAUUUCCCCAGCCUGCAAAGAGGUUGUUAUCCUGUGCGUCCUUUUACAUAGUAGGGGCCCAGUGAGUGUAAUAGUUAGAAGCC